UACGAACCGGACAAACGUUAUUCGGAAUCACUGGGCUUACAGGGUGCGUAGGCGGUCUGGAGGGUGGGGUGUGAAAUCCCUCGGCUCAACCGAGGAAUUGCGCUCCAAACCGGCAGACUUGAGGGAGACAGAGGUGUGCGGAACUGAUGGUGGAGCGGUGAAAUGCGUUGAUAUCAUCAGGAACACCAGUGGCGAAAGCGGCACACUGGGUCUCUACUGACGCUGAGGCACGAAAGCCAAGGGAGCGAACGGG
rnacentral:rRNA from 1 species